UUGCAUGCCACCUGGCGGCGACGGUGGGUACAGAGGAGGCAUCCAGGGCCUGCCCCUCCUCCCGUGUGCCCGUCCCGUCCCCAGGCAUUGGGCAGCUCCCUGGGGAUGGGCUGAAGCUGGGCUGGGAAGUGGGCCUGCAGGAAUCCAAUGCACAGCAUGAACAAAUGUGAAUCUCAUAUUUGGAGAAGCAUAAAUUGUGUCAGUCCAUCUUUAUAACAACUUCCAAGAGCAAGGAUCAAAAAUCUCCCAUCUUCCAAGAGAGCACUGUGGAUGGUGGAAGUAGUGAAUGUUUGUUCUGCUCAGUUUUAUUCCUGCACUUGUGCUGUUAUUGCCAUCAAGAUCUUUAACUGUUUCUCAGUACCUCAGUUGGGAACCUGUUGCUCCUUACAUUUAAUAUAAGAG